CGAUGUUGGAUUAGGAUACUUAUUUAAUGAAGAAGUUAAAUAAAGAAGUUUGUUCAACUUUUAAUUUCCUACAUGAUCUGAGUUCAGACCGGCGUAAGCCAGGUUGGUUUCUAUCUUUAUUUAGAAUAUUUUUUAAUUAGUACGAAAGGAAUUUUAAAAAAUAAUUAUUUAUAAAAAAAAAUUUAAAAUAAUAUAUUAUUAUU
rnacentral:rRNA from 1 species